GCAGAGUUAUGAGGGCGUUCCUUGCAGUAUCUAGGUAAGGACUUUUACCCAGUCAGAAGCAGAGUAUGAGGGUGUGCCACACUCGCAGCUA